rnacentral:lncRNA from 1 species
AGGAUGGAGCUGCAAGUGGUGGCGUCCGGCAGCAUCCCCUUGGCCAGCACCACUCGCAGCAGCUCCAUCGUCCCGGCCAAGUUCCCAGAUCUGUGGAGACCACCGAAGCAAGCCGCGAAGGUGAACGAAUCCGGCUGGUGGCCCUUGCCGACCAUCUCCUCAAGAACAGUGAUCGCCUGCUCGGUCUUCCCCGACUUCCACAGCCCGUCCACGAGGAUGUUGUAAGUCACGGUGUCGGGAUCCCAGCCAAAGCUCUUAAGCUUGCUCACGAGCUGGAGAGCGUCGUCGGUUCUCGAGGCCCGGCAGAGCGCGUAGACGAGCGAGCCGUAAGUCAUGGAUUCGGGCACGCAGCCGGAGCUCACCAUCUCCUCCAGGAACUCGCAGGGCUCCUCGAUCCGGCCCGACUUGCACAGGCCGUGGACAAGCACGUUGUAAGUCACCACGUUUGGAGGAACUCCGAGAUUCCCCAUGAGAUCGAGGAUGUCCCGCGCGGCCUCCACCUGUCCCGCCUUGCACAGCCCGUCGAUGAGCGCGCCGAAAGUCAUCACGUCCGGCUGCAUGUUCUUGGCCACCAUCUCCUCGAAGAGCGCGGACGCCUGCUCGAAGUUGCCGGCCUUGCAAGCCCCCGCGAUGAGAAUGUUGAAGGUGACUUUGUCAGGCACGAGCAUCCGGUUGUAGACCUGGAGCGCUCUCGACACGUCCCCGAGCUUGGAAAGUCCGUUGAUACAGCAGUUGAAAGCGUACGUGUCCGGGUCGGGCAUGGCGUCGAGCAGCGCCUCGGCCUGACCCGCCCGCCCCGUCCGGAAGAGGCCAUCGAUCAAGGUGCAGUACGUGAUCUUGUCCGGGGCCAGGCCGUGCUUGAGCGUCAUGUCGUCGAACAUCUGGAAGGCCUCGCCCGAUCGGUCCGACUUGCAGAGUCCGUCGAUGAUCGAGUUGAAAGUCACCACGUUUGGCGUGCAUCCCCGCGACGCCAUGCCGUGGAGGAGCUCCAGAGCCUCGUCGACGCGGGAGGCCUUGCAAAAGGCGUCGACGAGUACGCUAUAGGUGAUCACGUCCGGGGUGACGCCCUUGUCCACCAUGCUCUCGAUCAUGGCGUGGGCUCUCUCCAUCUUGUCGGCCUUGCACAGCCCGUUCACGAGCGCGUUGUAAGUCACCACGUUUGGGACGUAGCCACCUGCGAUCAUGUCGUCGUUGCAAGCCUCGUCGGUCUGGCCACACUUGCACAGCCCGUCGAUCAGCGUGCUGAAAGUCACGGUGUCUGGAGAGACUCUCAAGCUCCCAUCUCGCAAGCUCCUCAUCAGCUCGCACGCCUCGGCCGUCAUGGACUGCUUGCAAAGCCCGUCGAGGAACGAGUUGUAAGUGAUGAUGUUUGGAAGAACGUCGCAGCUCUUCCGCGUCAUCUCCUGGAUGAGCUCUCGCGCCUCGUCGAUCCGGCCGACCUUGCACAGCCCGUUGAUGAGCACGCUGUAGGUGACGACGUUUGGGACGCAACCUCGAGAGCUCAUGCCGCCAUGGAGCCGCCGUGCCUCCUCCAGAUCCCCGGCUUUGCACAAGCUGUCGAUCAGCGUGUUGUAAGUCACCACGUCGGGGUGGUGGCCUCUCUUCACGAGCUCCUCGAAGAGCUCCAUCCCUGCGCCAAGCUCGUUGCUCUUGCACAGCCCAUUGAUGAUCGUGUUGUAAGUCACGAUGGUGGGAGCUACGCCGUCGCGAGCCAUCUCCCCGCGGAAGAUCUCCAGCGCGCGGGCGGUCUCGCCGGCGCGGCACAGCGACUGGAGCACGAUGUUGUAGUCCGCCACCGAGCGCGAGGAGCUCCGGACAAAAAAAAAUUUCAGGGGACACAAAUUUACUCUUUGAGUGUUGAUGGUGGCGGUGGUGAUUGGUACCAGUAGAUUCGCGGCAGCAGUAUGGUGGUGGGGAUUUAUACACAUAUGGUGGUGGUGGUGGUGGCGACUCAUAUUUAUACGGUGGCGAUGGAGGUGGGGACUGCAGUGGUGGUGGAGAUGUGUACUUGUAUGGAGCUGGCGAUGGUGUACAUUUCUCACAUUUUGGUGGUGGUGGUGGUGGAGAUUUGUACUCGCACGGAGGUGGCAAUGGUGGAGACUUCUCGCAUUUUGGUGGUGGUGGCGGUGGGGAUUUCUCACAUUUUGGCGGUGGUGGUGGCGGGAACUUCGGUGGUGGUGGUAGUGGUGGCAGCGGAGACUUGGGUGGCUGGGGAGGUGGAGAUUUUUCACACUUUAGUGGAGGUGGUGGAGACUUGUAACGGUAAGGAGGUGGUGGCGAUUCAACUGGCGGUGAUGGAGAUUUGUGAUGGUGUGGUGGCGACUCAACCGGCGGUGGUGGUGAUUCAACCGGUGGUGGUGGCGAUUCCAUCUGUGGUGGUGGGGAUUUGUAACAGUAAGGAGGUGCAUUAGGAGGGCACAAACGAUUUGGAAACCACCAGGGUCUUCUCAGCCAUGGCCUCCAACAGAAGAAAUGAUCGUGCUCUUGGGAAUUCUAAAGCCAAAGUUCUUGGCAUCUCCAAAAGCCCCUGCAUUUCGAUCCAAAACCUCCUGAGAUCCAUCACAACUGACAGUAGAAACCAGGAGAAGCAGCAAAAGCAUGCUGCGUGACUUGAGGAAAAUCAUCACGUUCUCGAUAGAGAACCAAGAUCACUGGAAAGAGAGACCUUUUCUGUGAUGCUACAAAAAUUUCCAGGUUACCGUGUCCUAUCCGCUUUCAAAAUAGUAAUGCUUUAGAAAUUGAUGGCUCUGUUUAAUGUUUAGCAAAAGAUUUGCAACGCGCGCCCGUCUCUCGCCUCCACUCUGACUUCGAGGUGCAGAGGAGCUGAAGGAGCGGCAGACCUGGACAACAUUUUCGAGUGAGCAUCCGGCUGCGUUCCGAGGAUUUGAGCACAGCUUACUUUUACAACUCUUGUGUUGUUGACAAGCGAUGAGACAAUCUUCGUAAGAUGGCGCUAAUUGGACACUGGAAGAGGGAUGCCAUUGCCAAGCUCUCUCAGUUCUCACCUCUGGUCCCGAUGCUCGCCCUCCACCGUUUUAACAGCGAACACAAGAUGACCUCUUAUCUAAUUUGUUUGGCAACCUGGAGACUCUCUUCGGUUUUUUCCUUUUCUUUCUUGCUGAUCGAUCUGUGUUGCAGUCAUUCGUGCCUGGAGGUGUCACCAAGCGCAAGGAUGUGACUGUUCAUCUCUACGUGUAAGAUCCCACACCGCCCAACCUGAUGGUUCUCAAGGAUUUACUUGGAGUUCAUCAAGUCGAAGAGAUCGUGAUUCACUGCAGCCAAGCUGUGGCGAACUGGGGACUGCUGGCGCUGAAGCCAGGCUACGAAUGCUUCCAGGUGCUGUUCGACUUGCUCUUUGGUCGCAUUUCUUUCGCACGAGAGAAACAGCAUCAUUGACUGUAUUAGUGGCGAUGCGUGAUCUUUGUCAAGUUUUUAUUGAACAUCAACGUCAUGACUAGCCUGGUAUAUUUGUAACACCUCGAGCCGCCGUUGACGCUGUAGGUGACGACGCGCUCAUGUCGCCAUGAAGAGCCGGGCCUGCUCGAGAUCCCCCGCUUUGCACAAGCUAUCGAUCAGAGCUGGUUGUAAGUCGCCACGUCGGGGGAUGGAGCGAUCCCAAUGUGAGCUACGCGGAUUGGGCGCUCGCUUCCACGUCAGGGAUUCUUCUCUUCCAUCGCUCUUCCUCUCCUCCUCGCCAUUCGUCCUCCUUGCGGCGCUCUGCGGCCUGCUUGUCGAAGUCUUUCCUGUAGGAAUAAUGAUGAACACGACAAGCAGUCCGAAUCGUGAUCAGAUCUCUGGUGAUUUCCGAUUUGAUUGAAGUUGUAUAUAUAUAUACAGCCAUAUAUGAAUCAGUGUGUGUUGAAGUGAAAUCUGUUGUUCUUGCUCCGCUUUUCUUUCUUGGUAUCGGAGCGCUGGUUUCUGAACUCUUUCUUCUCCUUUCUUUGUGCCUCACAUCAUGAGCUGCAGCAAAGUUGGAUUGAUCUUGCUUCAGGGAGUCACUGCCUUUGAUGGGAGGAGAGGGUUCAACACUUGGUCCGAGAAAAUGAUGCGCGUGCUGCAGAUGGAAGAACUCUGGGAAAUCGUUUCACCACCAACAAGAUGCUCGUACGCGGCGAGCCCCUGCUACGUUGGGAGCUUCAACUUCAGUGGAAGGAGAAGUCGUGGAUGAAGAGGCAAUUCGUGCCUCUGUUGCAGCAGCUCGACAACAGCUUGAUCCAGGGGAACAAGCUGUGCUGGAGAAGAAGGAAUCUCGAGCAAAAGGAUUGAUUCUUUCUAAGCUUGCAGAUGCCCUUAUGAUGCGUUUGCGUCAUAAGUGUGCUUGUGAGAUCUGGGCUCAUCUCCACAACAAGUAUGCUGUUCUUUCCCUCUCCAAGAUUAGCAUGGUCGAGACUUGCAUUCGUGAGACCCGUUUUCAUCCAGGCGAGAACUUUGAAGAGUUCCUCGCCAAGAUGCAAGAUCUGUGGAUGGAGCUUGAAGGCAGUCCAGCAGCGUUCAACGAAAGCAAGAAAGUUCUGGCACUUUGCGAGGCCAUGCAAGAUUCUUCUUUUAGUUCUUUCGUCCCUACCGUUCGCAUGAUGUCGCUCAACUUUGAACAAGCUGAGCAAACUUUACGCUCGGAGCUGGCUGCGAGAGGUUUGAUUGUGGACUUUGAUCAAAGGCCUUCCCAUGUUUUGAUCUCACAGUCUACAGCAAAUGCUUCUGCAUCAAGCAAUCAGUCAGGGACUGAUUCAGCUCUGUGGGCUGGAAAUCAUCGAAACAGAGGAGGCCGUGGAAGAGGAGGACGAGGCAGAGGUCGCGGGUUUAGGGGAAAUCCGCAGCAGCAGCAGAAUUCAGGGAAUUCUGGUAAAGAAGCAGCAGUUCGGGAUUGUUUUGUGGCCAAGAACAAACAGGAAUGCUGGACCUGUGGGAUGCCAAGGCACUACUCCAAGGAUUGCCCAGUUGCAGCUUGGCUGCAGCACAUGAACAUAGGGCUCGCAGCAAAUGCUCAGGAAGGGGAAACACAGGAACUUGCGGCAUCAUCUGAGGUAGCAGUUCCAAACGUUUCUGAAAAACUGACCAUCGAUUCAGGUUCAGAGAGACACCUGAUGCAAAGCGGGUCGAACUUUGUGCAGUUGCGUGCUGCAAAAGGGAAGUGCAUUCGUGUGGGAGAUGGAAGCAUUUUACCUGUUCGCGCAACUGGGGAUGUGCGAGUUCCACUGGGAAGAAAGUCUCUGCUCUUGAAGAAUGCGUGGUAUGUUCCAAAGAUAGUGAAGAAUCUGGUUUCUGUAGCCAAGCUUACGGAUGAAGGUCUGGAUGUGAAUUUCUCCAAACAUCAAUGUCAAGUUCUUGCAAAUGGCCGUCCAUUACUGCAUUUUCCCAGAUGUGGUAACCUGUUUGAGAAGGAGAUAGCUUCUGGAGAAAAAUCGAAUGCUCCUGAGAUAUGCAUGACUGCAGAUAGCUCUCUCUGGCAUUCUCGACUUGCACAUGCCAAUCCUCCUCUCAUCAGGCGUAUGCAGAAGCAGGAGCUUGUGGAUGGCUUCAACGACCACGUUCUUCAAAGUUCAGCAAAAUGUCACACUUGCAUUCUUGGCAAGCAAACCCGUUGUACUUUCAAACCUGCUGUGACCAGAAGCACUCGUCCCUUGCAGCUCAUUCACUCAGAUGUUUGUGGACCCAUGCGACUGUUUGCUCAAAAUGGCACGAAGUAUUUUGUGACAUUUACAGAUGAUUUCUCCAGGCACACGGACGUCUUCUUUCUUCGUCACAAAGAUGAAGUCUUUAGCAAAUUCAAGCAAUUCAUAGUAGAAGCCGAAGUGAAAACUGGUCAGAGGGUUGGUUGUUUACGUACUGAUUCAGGAGGGGAAUACGUCAACAAGUCCUUUCAGCAGUUCUGUGCUGAACGAGGAAUUCUUCAUCAGCGUUCUUGCUCUCAUACCCCUCAACAGAAUGGAGUCUCUAAGCGCAAGAAUAGGACAAUCAUGAACGCAGUUUGGUGCUUCCUUCAAGAAUCAGGACUACCAAAAUUCCUUUGGGCUGAAGCAGUUGGAUCAGCUGUGCAUGUUCAAAACCUUCUCCCUCAUUCUCACAAUCCCAACAAGAUCCCAGAAGAGCUUUGGACUGGUCAAAGACAAUCGGUGGUGCAUCUCAGGCGUUUUGGUUGUUUAAGCUUUGCAAAAAGGGUGGAUGAGCAUCUUGGCAAGUUGGAGAGCAGAAGCAAGCUGGCCUUUCUUGUUGGAUACGAUUCCAAUUCAAAAGGAUAUCACCUGUACCAGCCUGGUAAUCAUCAAAUUUUUGUAAGCACUGAUGUUCGUUUUGAUGAAGGAACACUCUACAAAGAUCAUGUUCAAGAGGAAGGAAGCUCAGAUCAGAACAUGAACUGGACUCCAGAAGAAUGGAGUUGGGAUGGUGUUGAAGACGGUGAUGAAGAUGACGAUGAUCUGACAAUCAUCUAUCCCUCAUCUCCUUUAGCAGAUGAUCAUCCAACACCAGUCUCUGAAUCUUUUCUUCCUGAAGAACAGGGCGAUGCUACUCAUCGUGCACGAACUGGAGAAGUCGACAGGCUCACACGUGAUCUACCAUUCAAUGUGGAGAACUAUGGGCGGACAUCAUCUGGACGAUCAAGCAAAGCACCUCAUCCCAAGCAAUGGUCUUUUGCAGCAACAGAAAUAGCUUCUGAACCAGUCAACUUUGAGCAAGCGAUUCAAGCUCCUGAUGCAGAUAAGUGGAUUUCAGCAAUGCAAGAUGAGUUGAAUUCUCUUGAUGAGAACCAGACUUAUGACUUGGUGGAAGCUCCUAAAGGACGUGAAGUUGUUGGAUCACGCUGGGUGUUCAAGCUUCACAGAAAUCCUGAUGGAUCGGUACAGCGUUACAAAGCAAGACUUGUUGCUCAAGGAUAUUCACAAGUUCCUGGAGUGGAUUUUGAUGAGACGUUCUCACCAAUUGUGAAGCAGACAAGUAUCAGAAUGCUUCUGGCUUUUACAGCGGAGUUUGGUUUGUGCGCACAUCACAUGGACGUAAAAACAGCCUUCCUUAAUGGGAACUUGAAGGAGGAGAUAUUUAUGCGGCAACCCCCAGGCUUUGAGCUUUUUGGAUCCGGUUGUUCCGAACUCGUCUGCAAGCUUCGCAAGGCUCUUUAUGGCCUUAAGCAGGCUUCCCGUCAGUGGUAUGAAUGUUUGGAUUCUUUUCUUAUGGAUCUCGGUAUGCAGAGGUUGAACAGCGAUGGAAAUUUAUAUCUUCUUCAGCAGGGUGAUCACUUUGUUGUGAUAGCAGUUUAUGUGGACGACUGUUUGAUUGUCAGCAACAAUCACACUGUUUUGAAGGAUGUGAAGAUCAAGCUUAUGAACAGGUUUGUGAUGAAGGACUUAGGAGCUGUGCGGCAGCUGUUAGGGAUGGAAGUUGACAGGGAUGAAGCAGACAGGACAAUCACCCUCACACAGUGCCAAUAUGUGAAGAAGCUUCUCAACCAGUUCAACAUGACAAGUUGCAAAUCCGUGGCUGCACCAAUCGUCACUGGCAUCAAGUUCACAAGCAAGAUGGAUGAUUUAUUUGAUCAGCCCUCGGUCUACCGAUCACUUGUUGGAGGACUACUCUACCUCGCCAACAUGACUCGCCCCGACAUCUCCUUUGCCGUUGGUCUCCUCAGCCGAUACAUGCAGUCUCUGAGUUGUUAUCAUUGGCAGAUGGCGAAGAGAGUUUUGAGGUAUUUGAAAGGAACGGCUGCUCAUGGAUUGGUUUACAAAUGCUCAAGUCAAUCCAAACUUGUUCUUCAAGCUUACUGCGAUGCAGAUUGAGCUGGCAACUUGGAUACACGACAUUCAACCUCCGGAAUUUGCUGCAUAAUUGCCGGUGCUCCGGUUUCAUGGGGAAGCAAGAAGCAAACGACAGUUGCUCUUUCCAGUGCAGAAGCAGAAUACAUAGCUGCCAGUACAGCAGCAAGGGAGAUCAUCUGGCUUCGUCGAUUACUUGGAGAACUCAAUCAACAGCAAUCAGAUGUGACCAUUCUACAUUGCGACAGCAGAAGUGCAAUCGCCAUGUCAAAGAAUCCUGUGUUUCAUGCUCGUACGAAACAUAUAGACGUGCAGCAUCACUUCAUUCGCGAACAUGUAGCAGCCGGAGAUCUUCACCUGGAAUACGUUCCUUCACAGUAUCAGUUGGCGGACCUUCUAACCAAGCCACUUUCGGAGCUCACAUUCAUUAAGCUGAGGAAUCAACUUGGAGUGUCAAGCACACCCUCAGCUUGAAGGGGGAGUGUAGGAAUAAUGAUGAACACGACAAGCAGUCCAAAUCGUGAUCAGAUCUCUGGUGAUUUCCGAUUUGAUUGAAGUUGUAUAUAUAUAUACAGCCAUAUAUGAAUCAGUGUGUGUUGAAGUGAAAUCCGUUGUUCUUGCUCCGCUUUUCUUUGCUGCUUGCGAUGGAAAUGCGAGCAGUUUGUGAGAUUGGAUGGAUUGGAACAAGGGAUUUGCUCGAUCGAGUUUGAAAUAUCACUCGAAUGACAAUCAAUGUUUAAUUUCCCAAGGUAUAAUGGGAAUUUGAAUUCUUAGCGUUGGAAGUUUUAGGAGCGUUGGAUUUGGAGCAUCGCUCCACUUUGUGGAGGCAUCGGCAAUGCCGCAAGAGAAUUUGCAAAGCUAUAAGAGGUACGUUAGCUUGCUGUCGUUUUCUUCCCUCAAGAUCAGACCCCGAGCAGGGAUUAGAAGAACGAGAUGGGAAGAGGGGAUUAGAGGAACAAGAAGAACUGGGACUGGGCCGGUAGAACACGUUGAAGGCCUGUUGCAACAAGAAGAAGAACAGGUUGAAGGCCUCGAGGGCGAUCAAGGGCUGGAAGCAAAAGGACUGGAAUCUGAUGGAGCAGAGAAGAAGAACAGUUUCAAGACCUCAAGGGCAAUCAAGGGCUGGAAGCUGAUGGAGCAGAGGUUCAUGGCACAGGAGGGUGUGUUGACAUUGUCAAAAGAUACGAGUCGAGUGUCAAUAGAUGAAGCAAUACACUGGAAGCUAGCAAUUGUUGAUCUGCUCAGGUCUCCAGGAAUCACGCAACAAUCAGGAAUAGUUGUAUAUAGAGCGUGAAAGACUCAUGAAUAUAUACUCGUUUUUUUAUCUUUAUGGUAUCGGAGUGCAGGUUUGUGGCUCGUUAUUUUCCUUUCUUUGUUCCUGUUUCUUGCUCUCGAUUGCUGAGCUACCAUUUGAUGGCUCAAGGCGUUUUUGGUACUGGAUUGGGGGUGUGGAAUGUGGUCACUUCUCCCUAGGGUGCUCAUUCUUUAGCCAUUGAGUCCACUCAUAGUAGCAAUAUUGCUACUACAAUUAAUCAGGAGUAGAACUGUCUAGCCAUGAUCAAUUGAAGCUGGCAGAACAUCUAGCAUAUGUAACGAGAGUCUAGUCUGCUGCAGAAUUCUGGGAGUGCCUCCUUGUGUGCUGAGGGUUGUCAACUCUUCUGCUGCCACUAAGGAUCAUGGAGGUGUACAAAAUAGACUGGACAUUAUUUCAUCUGCCCAUCCAUUUCAUGAGCAUGAGAAGCUCUAUCCUAUUCCAUUUCUGUCUUGUGUCCCUUUGCUACCCAAAAAUGGUCCCUCUUUGCAGUAUAGACAUGGUCAAUCCUCUCCAGGUUUGCUUUUGCAUUCCUCCAUAUAGACAAACGAUCUGAGCAUAACAUCAGGCAGAUGAUAUGAGUUUGCAUUCUCGUUGCUGAAUUGGAGCCAUGAUACCCACAGAACCUUCAUGUCCACCUCGCAAUGCCAUUGACAUCCUUCUCACAAAGUUGCAAUGGUGCCAAACUUGCCAAUUCAUUCAGCUUCUGCUUGAAAUCAGCUUUUGUGUCCUUGGCAUUUCGAUGUGGUGCCUUCCUUUUAAUCCCAUGAAUGGCCUUCCUUUGGACAGCAUUAACCUGUUGUCAAAUGCCUUCAUCCUUCUCUUCUUCAUCAUUUUCAUCUUCUUCUAGCAAGAUAUGGAGUCCUUGACAUGGUUGGUUGUCACUCACUCACAUGCAUACGCAGCAAUGGCACACUGCUGUAAUAAUCCACUGUCAUCCCUAAUGCUUCCCAUCCCACUGUCCCAUGCAAAGGAGCUUCCUCCCAACCAUCUGGAUGCUGAGGAUGAUGGAUGCCUGGCCCCUUGACCUGACUCACCUGACUGACUCACUUGGGCUACAAGAGAUGCAUUGACACACUUGAUCACUUAUGGCACUGUAACCUCAUAGCAUUGCUGCUGGUUUGAGAGGAGAGGAGCCAAAGGGACACAAUCGAGGACAACAAAAAUAAGUGGAUUUGAACUCAAGUUCUUUUGGGAUUUGGAGGUGACAUCCAAACUCAAUCCAUAAAGAGGUGACUUCCACUUGCAGAGUCAUGGAGAAUAAUGCGAAAAAUAUUCUCAAGAAUUCUCUUAAAAAGGAAUUUGUAUAAAUAUAUUCCAUGUCUUUGUGAGUUCUUACAUUUCAUCAUGUACCUGCCUGUAUUCCCGUGUUCUCAUCACCUGCCAAUCGCUGAUUACAAACAUUAUAUAGAUCAAAAUCAAGAAUUGAAAAUUAUUUCAUGAUAGAAUUUUAUUUUGAAUUUUAUUUUUCCCCAAGCCUACAAGCACAAAUUUCUUGCCCAUGUGUAGCUUUAUUAAUGUUUUUGCACUUUUCUUAUCCCCAUAAUCUUAAAAGUGUGCCAAUUUGCUAUAAAAGCAAUUAAAACAAUCAAAAUGUGAUUGUCACAUGGGGUCUUGCCACGUCCGCAUUGCCACAUACUACUGCUCAGUGCAUAUGAAACCUGGUUGUGUCUGGUUUGCAUUAUCCUGUGAGUUGUCAAGAAAGCUCAGACAGUUCCCAAGAAGGCUCCCCUUCACCUCGUCAAUAUGCUUAGACUUGCUACUUCUGCAGAAAGUUGUUAAAUCCCAUCGCUUCUCCUUUUGACUAGGGGGUAAGAACAAAUCCAAUCGCCCUUGUCCUUUUCACUAGCACAUACUGAUCAAGAGCAAAAAACUAGUUGGCUUGGGAUUUUGAUCAAGCACGAGAAACAAGAGUGGCGAUUUUGCUUCAGGAAUCGAUUGGUUAACUUCGCUUCAUUUUCAGAUUCUGGACGUUUAGGAAUGAUCCAUGAUUUAGAAUUCACUGGGAUUGCCCUGAUCUAUACAGAGCUGGCUUGUGGACUUCUUGAAAACUCUUGUGCUGAAGGGCUCUCUUUUAGGAUUUGAAUCCUAUAAAAUGCUUAAACCAAACCCUAAAUGUGGCAAAUAAUGAAAUAUAUAUGUGUUAUUUGUAAAUUAGGCACCACCCACCCCUUUGGAGGUGUACCUCCCCCUCGAAUUGACAAUAGUUUCUUUCUUCAGCUUCCAGUGCUGGAUGGAAACAGAGGUCUCUGUGGAGUGGGCAUGAAGGAGCGGCCGCCACUGCUGCUGCCCUCCUCUGAAUAGGCCUCGAGAUCCACCCCCGCCCCGCCCAGCUUCGCCGCUCUCCUUCUCGCCAGCGACGCCUCCUGCCGCUGCGCGACGUACUUGCGCGUCCGGCACACAUAGACCGCAAGAACCACUAAGGUAAUCGCGAAGAACAGUCCCACCACGAUCCCAGCGAUCGCCUCGUGCGAGAGCGUGAUCGUUUCCUUGCUGGAUUUGGAUUGCUCCAGUAGCCACCGUCGUCCAAUCGACCCAAUCGCUGGCUGGAUCAUCCGCUGGAUCGAUCCAGGAGCUUCAUACCCGUAUUGGGUGACCUCAUAGGAUGAAUCUACACCGCUGCUACAACCGCCGCCUGGGAUCCAGAUCGCAAGCAGCAGGAAUAGAGAAAGAAGAAGAAGCAAGCCGCUCCUCUGAGUUGGCGCUACCUCUCCGCCAAAUAGCACCAUUUUCGUGAUCCUGCGUGUUCGUUGCCAAGAUAUCUAUUUCUCGACCUCUCAAGUAGAAUGGAAGUUUGGGCGAUUUUAUCAUUUAUAUAGGAAAAAGACCCUCUUGACCUACAAUACAUAACGCGACUAGUUCAAAGUCUUCUUGUGAAUAGCGCGUCAUACGUGGGGCCUUUGACGCUUGUGCUUCGCCUAGACCUUGAAGUUGACAGAACUUUUCUUAUGUGAAUUUCUUCUUCCUAAACCCUAAAUAAUCAAAGUGAUUUCAUGGCAAGAUCGCUUGUGAUCUGCAAAGAAAGAAGGAAUCUUUAUAGAUCAGUCUUCCUUGCCUCAAAAAUCCACAUUGCUUGCCGUGAGCUGAGAUGCAUUUCGACCAGCAGCUUAAAAUUUUUUAAGCCUGGGCGCCAUUUUCAUUAUAGGUUGGAGGGCAAAGCGUGGAGGUGGAUGAUUACACAGAGGAGCAGGAUAUAAUCUCCAGCAUUCUCCACCGUGCCUCAAGGAACUCACUGUUGUGCUCGAGUAUAGCAAGGAUGGUGAUGACCAGAUGGAAGUUAGCAGUCACUGCUGUUGGCUCCCUCACAAAGCUCUCCCUCGAAGCUCUCCAUGGGACCAAAUGGGGAGCAGCGUACUCCACCGCGAUUCAGGAGCUCCACAUCACUGGGAGACCAUGUUGGGGGGUGUGGGAUCUUGUAUGUAGAGACACAUCCUCGCGCUUGGUGACACCUCCGGGCACAAAUGAUUUAUUUGUGGGCACAAAUGACUGUAACACAAAUCAAUCAGUAAGAUUUAACAAAGAAAAAAAACCAAAGAAGAAUAGUCAAGAUCCACAUGAAGAAAUAGUUGUAUUGUCUCCAGAUUAACAAAGAAAAGAGACUGUCCAUGGUCAUCUUGUGUUCACUGUCAAUGCAUUGGAGCGCAAGCCUCAAAACCAUAGGCGAGACUGGGAGAGAUUGGCGAUGGCAUCCACCUUCCAGUGUCCAUAUAACGCCAACUUACGAAGGUUGUCACAUCGCAUGUCCACAACGCAAGAGUUACACUGUUCAAAACCUCUAGGCUCGGGCACGAAGCUAGCAGCAUCUGGAGCAGCGCAUGGGGGACGUAAGAGUAGAGCUCACAUCUUUGUACACGAAUCAUCUUGAAAAGAGAUCUAAGGCAAGAAAGAAUCAUGGCUGUCCACUCUUGAUAGGAAAGAUCAACGCAAAACACUCAAAUGAAACGCAGACCACUACAACCCUGUCUUGGAUUCGAUCGAAAACCCAUCGAGCCUCCAUUGCCGCAUUUCCCAUACAUGUUGAUCAAGCUACUGGCCACACGAGGAUUGGAUUGGAGCCAUAUCCUGUGUGGAUGUGGAUCCUCCUCCCUCUCUCCAAAUCCCUGGCGCCGGUGCAGGAUUUCAUGCUGUGACACUUGCCUUGACUCUAACCAUAAACUUUUCUCUCUAUUUCAAAGAGGUAGGAGCGAGAGGAACUCCAGUCUCCUCUCUAUGUGGCGGUAGCUCCAGUGGAACCUGUGCAGAAAACUCACAAGGACGAGCAUCAACAUCGUGACUCGCAAAACCACAAGAGGUACCAAUUCAUCUUUCGUGAAACUUAGUAGUCAUGCAGUUGAUUUUCAAUAAGAACUUGCAAAGAUCAGGCAUUGCUACUUCUCACGCGUGAAAAAUGCGACCAGGAAAAAAGAAGAGCAAGUCGAACAGCAGCCGGGGCUGCAGUGAAUCACGAUGUCUUCCACUUGAUGAACUCCAAGUAAAUCCUUGAGAACCAUCAUGGUGGGCGGUGUGGGAUCUUGCACGUGAAGAUGAACAGCCACAUCCUUACGCUUGGUGACAACUCCAAGCUCCCUCAGUUAACAGCGAACACAAGAUGACCAUGGACAGUCUCUUCUCUUUGUUUGGCUUUGGAGACAAUACAUACUGACUGCUGUUCUCUUCAGGUUCGUUUUUUUUUAUUUGUCUUGUGUUUCUUGCUGAUCGAUCUGUGUUGCAGUCAUUUGUGCCUGGAGGUGUCACCAAGUGCAAGGAUGUGACUGUUCAUCUUCACGUGUUGGUGGCGCUAAAGCCAGGUUACAAAUGCUUCUGGGUGCUGUUUGACCUGCUCUUUGGUCGCAUUUCUUUUGCAGAGAAACUGCAUCACUGGCUCUAUUAGAAGCGAUGCGUGAUCUUUGUCAAGUUUUUAUUGAACAUCAACGUCAUGACUAGCCUGGUAUAUUUGUAACACCUCGAGCCGCCGUUGAUGCUGUAGGUGACGACGCGCUCAUGUCGCCAUGAAGCGCCAGGCCUGCUCGAGAUCCCCCGCUUUGCACAAGCUAUCGAUCAGAGCUGGUUGUAAGUCGCCACGUCGGGGGAUGGAGCGAUCCCAACAUGGGCAAUGUGAUCUACGCGGAUUGGGCGCGAUCAAGCAUCGCUUCCACGUCAGGGAUUCUUCUCUUCCAUCGCUCUUCCUCUCCUCCUCGCCAUUCGUCCUCCUUGCGGCGCUCUGCAGCCUGCUUGUCGAAGUCUUUCCAUCACUGCUUGCGAUGGAAAUGCGAGCAGUGUGUGAGAUUGGAUGAAUUGGAACAAGGGAUUUUUGAAAUAUCACUUGGAUGACAGAAUCCCCAGCGUUGGAAUUUUUAGGAAGCAACGAGCGUUUGGAUUUGGAGCAUCGCUCCACUUUGUGGAGGCAUCGGCAAUGCCGCAAGAGAAUUUGCAAAGCUAUAAGAGGUAAGACGUUAGCUUGCUGUCGUUUGCUUCCCCCAGGAUCAGACCGAUUAGAAGAACGAGAUGGGAAGAGGGGAUUAGAGGAACGAGAAGAACAGGGACUGGGCCUGGAGCAACGGGUAGAACACGUUGAAGGCCUGUUGCAACUAGAAGAAGAACAUGUUGAAGGCCUCGAGGGCGAUCAAGGGCUGGAAGCAAAAGGACUGGAAGCUGAGAAAAGCAACGAGAAGAAGAACAGGUUCAAGACCUCGAGGGCAAUCAAGGGCUGGAAGCUGAUGGAGCAGAGGUUCACGGCAUAGGAGGGUGUGUUGACAUUGUCAAAAGAUACGAGUCGAGUGUCAAUAGAUGAAGCAAUACACUGGAAGUUAGCAAUUGUUGAUCUGCUCGGGUCUCCAGGAAUCACGCAACAAUCAGGAAUAGCUUGUAUAUAGAGUGUGAAAGACUCAUGAAUAUAUACUCGUUUUUUCUCUUCAUGGUAUCAGAAUGCAGGUUUGUGGCUCAUUACUUUUCCUUUCUUUGUUCCUGUUUCGUGCUCUUGAUUGCUGAUGGAGCGAUUGGCUGCUACCAUUUGAUGGCUCAAGGCGUUUUUGGUACUGGAUAGGGUGCUUAUUCUUCAGCCAUUGAGUCCACUUGUAGUAGCAAUAUUGCUACUACGAUUAAUCAGGAGUAGACUGCUCGAGCCAUCAUCAAAUUGAAGCUAGCAGAACAUCUAGCAUUUGCAACGAGAGUCUAGUCUGCUGCAGAAUUCUGGGAGCCUCCUUGUGUGCUGAGGCCAAGUAGCUGGUGUUGUCAACUCUUCUCCUGCCAAUAAGGAUCGCGGAGGUGUACAAAAUAGACUGGACAUUAUUUCAUCUGCCUCAUCCAUUUCAUGAGCAUGAGAAGCUCUAUCCUAUUCCAUUUCUGUUUUGCGUCCCUUUGCUUCCCAAAAAUGGCCCCUCUUUGCAGUAUAGACAUGGUCAAUCCUCUCCAGGAUUGCUUUUGCAUUCCUCCAUAAAGACAAACAGUCUGAGCAUAACAUGGUACCUCUACAUGGUAGGCAGAUGAGUUCGCACUCUUGUUGCUGAAUUGGAGCCAUGAUACCCACAGAACCUUCAUGUCCACCUUGCAAUUUACAUCGUUCUCGCAAUGGUGCCAAACUUGCAAAUUCAUUCAGCUUCUGUGUCCUUAGCAUUUCGAUGUGGUGCCUUCCUUUUAAUCCCAUUCAAUGCUGUGAAUGGCCUUCCUUCAGAAAGCAUUAACAUGUUAUCAAAUGCCUUCAUCCUCCUAUUCUUCAUCAUUUUCAUCUUCUUCUAGCAAGAUAUCUUCCAUUGGAGUGCUUGACAUGGUUGGUUGGCAGUCACUGCAACAAUGGCACAUUGUUGUAAUAGUCCAUUGUCAUCCCUACUUUGGAAUUGGAAUGCUUCCCAUCCCCCUGUCCCAUGCAAAGGAGCUUCCUCCGAACCAUCUGGAUGCUGAGGAUGAUGGAUGCCGGGCUUGACCUAACUCACCUGACUCACUUGGGCUGCAAGAAAGGCAUUGACACAGUUGAUCACUUAUGGCACUGUAACCUCAUAAGAACCAAAGAGAAGCAAUCUAAGACAACAAGAACCCUAACUUGUAAGUGGAUUUGAACUCAAGUUCUUUUGGAUUUGGAAAAACAAAUUGAGCCAAACUCAGUCCAUGUGGAGAUGACAUCCACUUGCAGAGCCAUGGAGAAUAUGAAAUACUAUAAAAAUAUUAAAAUAAUGCAUGCUAAAAAUAUUCUCAAGGAUUCACUUAAAAAGGAAUUUAUAUAAGUAUAUUCCAUGUUUUUGUGAGUUCUUACAUUUCUGUAUACCCGUGUUCUCAGGGCAUUUCAUCACCUGCCAAUCACUGAUUAUAAACAUUAUACAAAUCAAAAUCAAGAAUUGAAAAUUAUUUCAUGAUAGAAUUUUAUUUUGAAUUUUAUUUUCCCCCAAGCCUACAAGCACAAAUCACUUGCAUUGUUAUUUUAUUUAUUUUUUAUAUUUAUUUUUUUGCACAUUUUUUAUCCCCAUAAUCUUAAAAGUGUGCCAAUUACAUUUUGAUUGAUUACGUCCGCAUUACCACAUGCAGACACGUGCAUGUAGUACUCAUGUUGAUUUUCUACUACUCAGUGCAUAUAGGUUUGCAGCAAGGGAUUGGGGGGUUGAGCAUGAGCCUUUCAAUUAUAAAGUUCACACCAAUGCAAGACUCGGCACUAAACUACCAAGGUCCUCUCCAAUUCCAUGGUAGUCUUCUCCAAAUCGCUAGCACUUGGCGCUUGGCUUAUCCCAGAAUGAGACUGCUCUCUUCGGGCCAUGUAGCCAGCAAUGUGUUUUGUGGCUACCAAUAAGAGGCCAUGAAGAAUUGUAGCAAGUUCCUGAUGUUUGUAUCUUGUUCUGGUCCACUCCUGUGCUUUACAAAGGCCAUGAGAACCGAGUUCCAGUCUCCAGCACAGGAUGUUCUUGUGCGUGAUAUUUUGUCAAAAAUGAGCUUAACCUCUCAUCAUCAUUGUGUAGAGCAGACAGUCUCGCUGCUCGCACUCGUCAGACAAACCUUGGAAUAUGUUUUGAUGGUGGCUUUAGAAUCCUUGAUAUAUCAAGAUCAAAGAAAACAACAAGUAAAAAACUUGAAAACCUGGUUGCAUCUGGUUUGCAUUAUCCUGAGUUGUCAAGAAAGCUUAGAUACUUCCCAAGAAAUCUCCCCUUCACCUCGUCAAUCUGCUUAGACACUUCAUGCUUGACUUGCUACUUUUGCAGAAAGUUGUUAAAUCCCAUCUAUUCUCCUUUUGACUAGUGCAUAGGGGUAAGAAUAAAUUUAAUCGCCCUGUCCUUUUCACUAGCACAUAGAGUUGGGAUACUGAUCAAGAGCAAAAAACUAGUUGGCUUUGGGAUUUUGAUCAAGCACGAGAUUCAGGAAUCGAUUGGUUAACUUUGCUUCAUUUUCAGAUUCUGGACGUUUAGGAAUGAUCCAUGGUUUAGAAUUCACUGGGACGCCCUGAUCUAUGGACAGCUGGCUUGUGGACUUCUUGUGCUGAAGGGCUCUCCAGUUCUUGGGUGAUAUCGACAGUCUUAGAAUGGUGGACAGAAAGCUUGUGUGCCAUCAACGUGAUGAAAUUGUGGCAUUUUAUCGAGCAAGGUCUUUGUGGAGCAUUAAGCUUUGAACCAAGCCCUAAAUGUGGCAAAUAAUGAAAUAUGUUAUUUGUAAAUUGCCACACCCCUUUGGAGGUGUACCUGACAAUAAAUUAUUAUACAACGCUGAUUCGCAAGAAAAAUCAAGUAUCUUUACAUUGCUCUAGUCUAUGGCUCAAAUCGAAUAGUUUCUUUCUUCAUCUUCCAGUGCUGGAUGGAAACAGAGGUCUUUGUGGAGUGGGCAUGAAGGAGCGGCUGCCCUCCUCUGAAUAGCCGUCAGCGCCACCGACCUCGAGUUCCACCCCCGCCCCGCCUAGCUUCGCCGCUCUCCUUCUCGCCAGCGACGCCUCCUGCCGCUGCGCGAUGUACUUGCGCGUCCGGCACACAUAGACCGCAAGAACCACUAAGGCAAUCGCGAAAAACAGUCCCACCACGAUCCCAGCGAUCGCCUCGUGCGAGAGCGUGAUCGUUUCCUUGCUGGAUUUGGAUCGCUGCAGUAGCCACCGUCGUCCAAUCGACCCAAUCGCUGGCUGGAUCAUCCGCUGGAUCGAUCCAGGAGCUUCAUACCCGUAUUGGGUGACCUCAUAGGAUGAAUCUACACCGCUGCUACAACCGCCGCCUGGGAUCCAGAUCGCAAGCAGCAGGAAUAGAGAAAGAAGAAGAAGCAAGCCGCUCCUCUGAGUUGGCGCUACCUCUCCGCCAAAUAGCACCAUUUUCGUGAUCCUGCGUGUUCGUUGCCAAGAUAUCUAUUUCUCGACCUCUCAAGUAGAAUGGAAGUUUGGGCGAUUUUAUCAUUUAUAUAGGAAAAAGACCCUCUUGACCUACAAUACAUAACGCGACUAGUUCAAAGUCUUCUUGUGAAUAGCGCGUCAUACGUGGCCUUUGACGCUUGUGCACCUUGAAGUUGACAGAACUUUUCUUAUGUGAAUUCCUUCUUCCUAAACCCUAAAUAAUCAAAGUGAUUUCAUGGCAAGAUCGCUUGUGAUCUGCAAAGAAAGAAGGAAUCUUUAUAGAUCAGUCUUCCUUGCCUCAAAAAUCCACAUUGCUUGCCGUGAGCUGAGAGGCAUUUCGAGCAGCAGCUUAAAUUUUUUUAAACCUGGGCACCAUUUUCAUUAUAGGUUGGAGGGCAAAGCGUGGAGGUGGAUGAUGACACAGAGGGGCAGGAUAUAAUCUCCAGCAUUCUCCACCGUGCCUCAAGGAACUCACUGUUGUGCUCGAGUAUAGCAAGGAUGGUGAUGACCAGAUGGAAGUUAGCAGUCACUGCUGUUGUCUCCCUCACAAAGCUCUCCCUCGAAGCUCUCCAUGGGACCAAAUGGGGAGCAGCGUACUCCACCGCGAUUCAGGAGCUCCACAUCACUGGGAGACCAUGUUGGGGGGUGUGGGAUCUUGUAUGUAGAGACACAUCCUCGCGCUUGGUGACACCUCCGGGCACAAAUGAUUUAUUUGUGGGCACAAAUGACUGUAACACAAAUCAAUCAGUAAGAUUUAACAAAGAAAAAAAACCAAAGAAGAAUAGUCAAGAUCUACAUGAAGAAAUAGUUGUAUUGUCUCCAGAUUAACAAAGAAAAGAGACUGUCCAUGGUCAUCUUGUGUUCACUGUCAAUUCAUUGGAGCGCAAGCCUCAAAACAUAGGCGAGACUGGGAGAGAUUGGCGAUGGCAUCCACCUUCCAGUGUCCAUAUCCAACUUACGAAGGUUGUCACAUCGCAUGUCCACAACGCAAGAGUUACACUGUUCAAAACCUCUAGGCUCGGGCACGAAGCUAGCAGCAUCUGGAGCAGCGCAUGGGGGACGUAAGAGUAGAGCUCACAUCUUUUUACACGAAUCAUCUUGAAAAGAGAUCUAAGGCAAGAAAGAAUCAUGGCUGUCCACUCUUGAUAGGAAAGAUCAACGCAAAACACUCAAAUGAAACGCAGACCACUACAACCCUGUCUUGGAUUCGAUCGAAAACCCAUCGAGCCUCCAUUGCCACAUUUCCCAUACAUGUUGAUCAAGCUACUGGCCACACGAGGAUUGGAUUGGAGCCAUAUCCUGUGUGGAUGUGGAUCCUCCUCCCUCUCUCCAAAUCCCUGGCGCCGGUGCAGGAUUUCAUGCUGUCCUUGACUCUUAACCAUAAACUUUUCUCUCUAUUUCAAAGAGGUAGGAGCGAGAGGAACUCCAGUCUCCUCUCUAUGUGGCGGUAGCUCCAGUGGAACCUGUGCAGAAAACUCACAAGGACGAGCAUCAACAUCGUGACUCGCAAAACUACAAGAGGUACCAAUUCAUCUUUCGUGGAACUUAGUAGUCAUGCAGUUGAUUUUCAAUAAGAACUUGACAAAGAUCAGGCAUUGCUACUUCUCACGCGUGAAAAAUGCGACCAGGAAAAAAGAAGAGCAAGUCGAACAGCAGCCGGGGCUGCAGUGAAUCACGAUGUCUUCCACUUGAUGAACUCCAAGUAAAUCCUUGAAAACCAUCAUGGUGGGCGGUGUGGGAUCUUGCACGUGAAGAUGAACAGCCACAUCCUUACGCUUGGUGACACCUCCAAGCUCCCUCAGUUAACAGCGAACACAAGAUGACCAUGGACAGUCUCUUCUCUUUGUUUGGCUUUGGAGACAAUACAUACUGACUGCUGUUCUCUUCAGGUUCGUUUUUUCUUUUGUUUUGUCUUGUGUUUCUUGCUGAUCGAUCUGUGUUGCAGUCAUUUGUGCCUGGAGGUGUCACCAAGUGCAAGGAUGUGACUGUUCAUCUUCACGUGCAUGAUCCCACACCACCCAACGUGAUGGUUGUCAAGGAUUUAUGGAGUUCAUCAAGUAAAAGAGGUUGUGAUUCACUGCAGCUAAGUUGUGGCGAACUGGUCACUGAAGCCACGCUACGAAUGCUUCCGGGUGCUGUUCGACUUGCUAUUUUUCUUUCCUGGUCGCAUUUCUUUCGCGCGUGAGGAACUGCAUCACUGGCUUUAUUAGUUAGCAGUGCCUGAGCCUGGCAACGUAUCACCUUUUGUAGUUUCUAAAUCAAACAAAACGUUGGCGAGCUUUUGCCAAGUACUUCCAAGACUGUAAUAGCUUCUUUUGUGAUUUGUUUGUAAGGAAGGGCAUUCUUAUACACAAACUUCACUGGAUUCUUCGUCUGUACAAGUUUUUCCUGCCAAAGAAACUUCUUCCACCCUUGCAGCGCACAGAGAUAGAGCAGCCGCGGCUGGAGAAGAAGCCUCAAAUUCUUUGAUCAUGGCCUUGACGUCGUCUAGCUUUCCCGACCGGCAAACCCAGUCGAGGAUGGAGCUGCAAGUGGUGGCGUCCGGCAGCAUCCCCUUGGCCAGCACCACUCGCAGCAGCUCCAUCGUCCCGGCCAAGUUCCCAGAUCUGUGGAGACCACUGAAGCAAGCCGCGAAGGUGAACGAGUCCGGCUGGUGGCCCUUGCCGACCAUCUCCUCAAGAACAGUGAUCGCCUGCUCGGUCUUCCCCGACUUCCACAGCCCGUCCACGAGGAUGUUGUAAGUCACGGUGUCGGGAUCCC